UGGGGAAUUUUGCACAAUGGGGGAAACCCUGAUGCAGCGACGCCGCUUGAUUUAGAAGGCCUUCGGGUUGUAAAAAUCUUUUCUAUGGGAAGAAAAUGACAGUACCAUAGGAAUAAGGACCGGCUAAUUACGUGCCAGCAGCCGCGGUAAUACGUAAGGUCCGAGCGUUGUCCGGAAUCAUUGGGCGUAAAGGGUACGUAGGCGGGUAAGCAAGUUAGAAGUGAAAUCCUAUAGCUCAACUAUAGUAAGCUUUUAAAACUGCUCAUCUUGAGGGAUGGAAGGGAAAGUGGAAUUCCUAGUGUAGCGGUGAAAUGCGCAGAUAUUAGGAGGAAAACCGGUGGCGAAGGCGACUUUCUGGCCAGAACCUGACGCUGAGGUACGAAAGCGUGGGUAGCAAACAGG
rnacentral:rRNA from 1 species